CAAGGAAGGCAGCAGGCGCGCAAAUUACCCACUCCCGGCACGGGGAGGUAGUGACGAAAAAUAACGAUACGGGAACUCAUCCGAGGCCCCGUAAUCGGAAUGAGUACACUUUAAAUCCUUUAACGAGGAUCAAUUGGAGGGCAAGUCUGGUGCCAGCAGCCGCGGUAAUUCCAGCUCCAAUAGCGUAUAUUAAAGUUGUUGCGGUUAAAAAGCUCGUAGUCGAAUCUGUGUCGUGCGCCGCCGGUUCAUCGCUCGCGGUGUCAACUGGCGUGUCGCAGGACGUCCUGCCGGUGGACUUAGCCGCCUCGUCGUCCUCUCUCGCGGGAGCGUCGGCUCGGCGGCGGUCCAACUUUAACAAUCCCACCGCGGUGCUCUUCGCUGAGUGUCGAGGUGGGCCGGCACGUUUACUUUGAACAAAUUAGAGUGCUUAAAGCAGGCUAAAAUUUUGCCUGAAUACUGUGUGCAUGGAAUAAUGGAAUAGGACCUCGGUUCUAUUUUGUUAGUUUUCGGAACCCCGAGGUAAUGAUUAAUAGGAACGGAUGGGGGCAUUCGUAUUGCGACGUUAGAGGUGAAAUUCUUGGAUCGUCGCAAGACGGACUUAAGCGAAAGCAUUUGCCAAAAACGCUUUCAUUGAUCAAGAACGAAAGUUAGAGGUUCGAAGGCGAUCAGAUACCGCCCUAGUUCUAACCAUAAACGAUGCCAGCUAAGCGAAUCCGCCGACGUUCCUCCGAUGACUCGACGGGCAGCUUCCGGGAAACCAAAGCUUUUGGGUUCCGGGGGAAGU
rnacentral:rRNA from 1 species